ACAUUGGCCUUCAGGACGUCGAAAUCUGGGUCCGGGCGGCAACUGUGGCUCCGGCCACUGCCCGGCAUCCGCCGCCGCCUACAGGGCCAUCUUCCGCGACGGGAACGUCUGCUUCGACUAAUGGAUCUUCAGUGGGGACAUGCACAGAUGCAAACAAGGAAUAUUCAUAAGAAAGAAGAAUCAAACAUUUUUGUGCAGGAAAUAUGCCAACUUACUUUUAUUGUGAUAGUUGACUGGUAUGAACCUCACUGUUAAUUCAAAGGCCAUAAUAAAAAUCUAACGUUUAAGGUGGAGCAGACUGAAGAUUUGAACCUUCGACAGAUAUUAGGUUCAAAAUUUUCUUUAUCAAAAACCCUUUGUGGUCAGUUGACUGAAUCCCGAUGACCCGACAACACUUAUUAGCUUGUAGGGUCAACAUGUAUGUUUGUGCUGUCUUUUUUCAGGCACACUGGUGUUCAGACCUAACUAUCAAAACAAUGCAAUGGCAGGUGAUAAAAACAAGAAGGUUUUUAAGGAGACGCGUGGGAAGAACUCCAAAGAUCUCAAUGAAUUUUAUUGCCUACUGCAUGAUAUCUCGGCAAAACUGGAAUGUGCAAACCAAAUAUCAUGUCAGCUCAAUCGGUAAAGGAACUACGCAGUCAGGUCAGGAAGUUUUGAUGUUAUCUAAAUGAUUCCAUUUUCACCUCUGGCCCCAGGCCCAAAGAUCAAGAAGGACUUCAAUAUUCAUAUAUUAAUCUGUACAUUACAAGUCAGAAGACGAAUUUUCCCUUUCUGUGUAGAUUCCAAAGAUAAAUGUAUGAUGGCAUUGGUGACAAGUUGAAUGGAAGGAGGACAAUGUUGUUGCUGCUUGAUAGUCUACAUCACAUCUCUGUACCUUUAGUAUUCUCGUACGAAGGAGCGAUGUUAUAAACAUAAUAUCGAUGUAUACCACGUGGAUGGUGUUCCCCUUUUAAU